rfam:Caenorhabditis elegans chromosome V
CCAACGGCCCUCUUUAGGGCCACAAAUAUCUUAAUCCUGAGUUAA